GCCCCCGUUGUGUAGCGGCCUAGCACGCCGCCCUCUCAAGGCGGUAGCGCCGGUUCGAAUCCGGUCGGGGGUAC
rnacentral:tRNA from 206 species